rnacentral:tRNA from 1 species
GGCCGGGUAGCUCAGUUGGUUAGAGCGUGGCAUUCAUAACGCCAAGGUCGGGAGUUCGAUUCUCCCCCCAGCCA